rnacentral:rRNA from 1 species
UACGGGGGUGGCAAGCGUUGUUCGGAAUCACUGGGCGUAAAGCGCACGUAGGCGGAUCUUUAAGUCAGGGGUGAAAUCCCGAGGCUCAACCUCGGAACUGCCUUUGAUACUGGGGAUCUCGAGUCCGGGAGAGGUGAGUGGAACUGCGAGUGUAGAGGUGAAAUUCGUAGAUAUUCGCAAGAACACCAGUGGCGAAGGCGGCUCACUGGCCCGGAACUGACGCUGAGGUGCGAAAGCGUGGGGAGCAAACAGGG